GCAAGUCGAACGCUUUUUCUUUCACCGGAGCUUGCUCCACCGAAAGAAAAAGAGUGGCGAACGGGUGAGUAACACGUGGGUAACCUGCCCAUCAGAAGGGGAUAACACUUGGAAACAGGUGCUAAUACCGUAUAACACUAUUUUCCGCAUGGAAGAAAGUUGAAAGGCGCUUUUGCGUCACUGAUGGAUGGACCCGCGGUGCAUUAGCUAGUUGGUGAGGUAACGGCUCACCAAGGCAACGAUGCAUAGCCGACCUGAGAGGGUGAUCGGCCACACUGGGACUGAGACACGGCCCAGACUCCUACGGGAGGCAGCAGUAGGGAAUCUUCGGCAAUGGACGAAAGUCUGACCGAGCAACGCCGCGUGAGUGAAGAAGGUUUUCGGAUCGUAAAACUCUGUUGUUAGAGAAGAACAAGGAU
rnacentral:rRNA from 1 species